GUUUACGGCCAUACCACGUUGUGCACGCCCGUUCUCGUCUGAUCUCGGAAGUUAAGCAGGGUCGGGCCUGGUUAGUACUUGGCCUGGUUAGUACUUGGAUGGGAGACCAACUGGGAAUACCAGGUUGCUGUAAGUA
ensembl:rRNA 5S_rRNA 5S ribosomal RNA